GUGAGGAAUAUUGCGCAAUGGAGGCAACUCUGACGCAGCCAUGCCGCGUGCAGGAAGAAGGCGCUACGCGUUGUAAACUGCUUUUAACCGGGAAGAAACCCCAGGACGUGUCCUGGGUUGACGGUACCGGAGGAAUAAGCACCGGCUAACUUCGUGCCAGCAGCCGCGGUAAUACGAAGGGUGCAAGCGUUAUCCGGAUUCAUUGGGUUUAAAGGGUGCGUAGGCGAAGCGUUAAGUCAGUGGUGAAAUCCUGCAGCUUAACUGUAGACUUGCCAUUGAUACUGGCGCUCUUGAGUGCGCUUGAAGUGGGCGGAAUGUGCCGUGUAGCGGUGAAAUGCUUAGAUAUGGCACAGAACACCAAUUGCGAAGGCAGCUCACUAAGGCGAUACUGACGCUGAGGCACGAAAGCGUGGGGAUCGAACAGGAUUAGAAACCCGAGUAGUCC
rnacentral:rRNA from 1 species